rnacentral:rRNA from 1 species
UACGAAGGGGGCUAGCGUUGCUCGGAAUCACUGGGCGUAAAGCGCACGUAGGCGGAUUGUUAAGUCAGGGGUGAAAUCCUGGAGCUCAACUCCAGAACUGCCUUUGAUACUGGCGAUCUCGAGUCCGGGAGAGGUGAGUGGAACUGCGAGUGUAGAGGUGAAAUUCGUAGAUAUUCGCAAGAACACCAGUGGCGAAGGCGGCUCACUGGCCCGGUACUGACGCUGAGGCGCGAAAGCGUGGGGAGCGAACGGG